rnacentral:rRNA from 1 species
GGUUAAGCGACUAAGCGUACACGGUGGAUGCCCUGGCAGUCAGAGGCGAUGAAGGACGUGCUAAUCUGCGAUAAGCGCCGGUAAGGUGAUAUGAACCGUUAUAACCGGCGAUUUCCGAAUGGGGAAACCCAGUGUGACUCGUCACACUAUCAUUAACUGAAUCCAUAGGUUAAUGAGGCGAACCGGGGGAACUGAAACAUCUAAGUACCCCGAGGAAAAGAAAUCAACCGAGAUUCCCCCAGUAGCGGCGAGCGAACGGGGAGGAGCCCAGAGCCUGAAUCAGCAUGUGUGUUAGUGGAAGCGUCUGGAAAGGCGCGCGAUACAGGGUGACAGCCCCGUACACAAAAGCGCACAUGCUGUGAGCUCGAUGAGUAGGGCGGGACACGUGGUAUCCUGUCUGAAUAUGGGGGGACCAUCCUCCAAGGCUAAAUACUCCUGACUGACCGAUAGUGAACCAGUACCGUGAGGGAAAGGCGAAAAGAACCCCGGCGAGGGGAGUGAAAAAGAACCUGAAACCGUGUACGUACAAGCAGUGGGAGCACAGGUUUACCUGUGUGACUGCGUACCUUUUGUAUAAUGGGUCAGCGACUUAUAUUCUGUAGCAAGGUUAACCGAAUAGGGGAGCCGGAGGGAAACCGAGUCUUAAUUGGGCGUUAAGUUGCAGGGUAUAGACCCGAAACCCGGUGAUCUAGCCAUGGGCAGGUUGAAGGUUGGGUAACACUAACUGGAGGACCGAACCGACUAAUGUUGAAAAAUUAGCGGAUGACCUGUGGCUGGGGGUGAAAGGCCAAUCAAACCGGGAGAUAGCUGGUUCUCCCCGAAAGCUAUUUAGGUAGCGCCUCGUGAAUUCAUCUCCGGGGGUAGAGCACUGUUUCGGCUAGGGGGCCAUCCCGGCUUACCAACCCGAUGCAAACUGCGAAUACCGGAGAAUGUUAUCACGGGAGACACACGGCGGGUGCUAACGUCCGUCGUGAAGAGGGAAACAACCCAGACCGCCAGCUAAGGUCCCAAAGUCAUGGUUAAGUGGGAAACGAUGUGGGAAGGCCCAGACAGCCAGGAUGUUGGCUUAGAAGCAGCCAUCAUUUAAAGAAAGCGUAAUAGCUCACUGGUCGAGUCGGCCUGCGCGGAAGAUGUAACGGGGCUAAACCAUGCACCGAAGCUGCGGCAGCGACGCUGAUGCGUUGUUGGGUAGGGGAGCGUUCUGUAAGCCUGCGAAGGUGGCCUGUGAGGGUUGCUGGAGGUAUCAGAAGUGCGAAUGCUGACAUAAGUAACGAUAAAGCGGGUGAAAAGCCCGCUCGCCGGAAGACCAAGGGUUCCUGUCCAACGUUAAUCGGGGCAGGGUGAGUCGACCCCUAAGGCGAGGCCGAAAGGCGUAGUCGAUGGGAAACGGGUUAAUAUUCCCGUACUUGGUGUUACUGCGAAGGGGGGACGGAGAAGGCUAUGUUGGCCGGGCGACGGUUGUCCCGGUUUAAGCGUGUAGGUGUGUGUUCCAGGUAAAUCCGGUUCACUUUAACACUGAGGCGUGACGACGAGGCACUACGGUGCUGAAGCAACAAAUGCCCUGCUUCCAGGAAAAGCCUCUAAGCAUCAGGUAACAUCAAAUCGUACCCCAAACCGACACAGGUGGUCAGGUAGAGAAUACCAAGGCGCUUGAGAGAACUCGGGUGAAGGAACUAGGCAAAAUGGUGCCGUAACUUCGGGAGAAGGCACGCUGACACGUAGGUGAAGUGAUUUACUCAUGGAGCUGAAGUCAGUCGAAGAUACCAGCUGGCUGCAACUGUUUAUUAAAAACACAGCACUGUGCAAACACGAAAGUGGACGUAUACGGUGUGACGCCUGCCCGGUGCCGGAAGGUUAAUUGAUGGGGUCAGCGCAAGCGAAGCUCCUGAUCGAAGCCCCGGUAAACGGCGGCCGUAACUAUAACGGUCCUAAGGUAGCGAAAUUCCUUGUCGGGUAAGUUCCGACCUGCACGAAUGGCGUAAUGAUGGCCAGGCUGUCUCCACCCGAGACUCAGUGAAAUUGAACUCGCUGUGAAGAUGCAGUGUACCCGCGGCAAGACGGAAAGACCCCGUGAACCUUUACUAUAGCUUGACACUGAACAUUGAGCCUUGAUGUGUAGGAUAGGUGGGAGGCUUUGAAGUGUGGACGCCAGUCUGCAUGGAGCCGGCCUUGAAAUACCACCCUUUAAUGUUUGAUGUUCUAACGUGGACCCGUGAUCCGGGUUGCGGACAGUGUCUGGUGGGUAGUUUGACUGGGGCGGUCUCCUCCUAAAGAGUAACGGAGGAGCACGAAGGUUGGCUAAUCCUGGUCGGACAUCAGGAGGUUAGUGCAAUGGCAUAAGCCAGCUUGACUGCGAGCGUGACGGCGCGAGCAGGUGCGAAAGCAGGUCAUAGUGAUCCGGUGGUUCUGAAUGGAAGGGCCAUCGCUCAACGGAUAAAAGGUACUCCGGGGAUAACAGGCUGAUACCGCCCAAGAGUUCAUAUCGACGGCGGUGUUUGGCACCUCGAUGUCGGCUCAUCACAUCCUGGGGCUGAAGUAGGUCCCAAGGGUAUGGCUGUUCGCCAUUUAAAGUGGUACGCGAGCUGGGUUUAGAACGUCGUGAGACAGUUCGGUCCCUAUCUGCCGUGGGCGCUGGAGAACUGAGGGGGGCUGCUCCUAGUACGAGAGGACCGGAGUGGACGCAUCACUGGUGUUCGGGUUGUCAUGCCAAUGGCACUGCCCGGUAGCUAAAUGCGGAAGAGAUAAGUGCUGAAAGCAUCUAAGCACGAAACUUGCCCCGAGAUGAGUUCUCCCUGAGACUUAAAGUCUCCUGAAGGAACGUUGAAGACGACGACGUUGAUAGGCCGGGUGUGUAAGCGCAGCGAUGCGUUGAGCUAACCGGUACUAAUGAACCGUGAGGCUUAACCUU